UACGUAGGGUGCAAGCGUUGUCCGGAAUUAUUGGGCGUAAAGAGCUCGUAGGCGGUUUGUCGCGUCGAAUGUGAAAACCCGGGGCUCAACCCCGGGCCUGCAUUCGAUACGGGCAGACUAGAGUUCGGUAGGGGAGUCUGGAAUUCCUGGUGUAGCGGUGAAAUGCGCAGAUAUCAGGAGGAACACCGGUGGCGAAGGCGGGACUCUGGGCCGAUACUGACGCUGAUGCGCGAAAGCGUGGGGAGCAAACGGG
rnacentral:rRNA from 1 species